CUGAAAUCUGUAUAUUUUGGAAAUCAAAAUUCGUCACGAAUAAUUUAGAAAAUGAACGAUGUUUUUACAUAGAAGACGAAAAUUUCCCGAAUUGUCUUCAUGAUUGUCUACCAGAUUACAUGUCUUGUACACAUCAUGACGUCAUCAAAAUAAGAACUGCAAAGAUGUUGGUCAUGAUACAAGAUUUUGUUGAAACGUUUAUAUGGACACAUAAUAAUCUAUUUGAAAUUAGUCAAUUGUAAUGUGUAAAAAACAUACGCGCAAUAACAUAAUCGCUAGUUAGUAUAUAACAUAAACCAUUGUAAAAAUAAAGAGCAUUGUGAGA